rnacentral:rRNA from 1 species
AGAGUUUGAUCCUGGCUCAGGACGAACGCUUGCGGCGUGCCUAAGAAAUGCAAGUCGAGCGAGGUUUAGGCUUCGGCCGACGACCUAGCGGCGAACGGUCGCGUAACACGUAAGCAACCUGCCCUAAAGUUGGGGAUAGCCCGCCGAAAGGCGGAUUAAUACCGAAUGUGGAUAUGAUUUCGCAUGUGAUUAUAUCUGAAGCAGCGAUGCGCUUUAGGAUGGGCUUGCGGCCUAUCAGUUAGUUGGUGUGGGUAACGGCCUACCAAGACGACGACGGGUAGCUGGUCUGAGAGGAUGGUCAGCCGGAUUGGGACUGAGACACGGCCCAGACUCCUACGGGGGGCAGCAAUUAGGAAUCUUGCGCAAUGGGCGAAAGCCUGACGCAGCGACGCCGCGUGACUGAUGAAGUCUUUCGAGAUGUAAAGGUCUUUUGUUGGGGACGAAGGAAGUGACGGUACCCGACGAAUAAGCCCCGGCUAACUACGUGCCAGCCGCCGCGGUAAUAC